UACGGGGGGAGCAAGCGUUGUUCGGAUUUACUGGGCGUAAAGGGCGCGUAGGCGGCCAGCACAAGUCAGUUGUGAAAUCUCCGAGCUUAACUCGGAAAGGUCAACUGAUACUGUGCGGCUAGAGUGCGGAAGGGGCAACUGGAAUUCUUGGUGUAGCGGUGAAAUGCGUAGAUAUCAAGAGGAACACCUGCGGCGAAGGCGGGUGCUGGG
rnacentral:rRNA from 1 species